AGAGUCGUACGGUGAAGAAAUAGCGAAUCACGCCGGCCUCGAGUCAUGCGGUUGUGGCAGUAAUGUUGCGGCUGAAGCGUUGACAGAGGCAGGUGCAGGCCAGCCAUUGAGCUUCGAAAUCUCAAACUUCCGAGUGCCGACCGUGUUCUCAGAUCGGGAAGGCCACACGGGAAGCAGCGUUAACGCGAGUUGCUUCUCGGCUUGGCGGAGUCGUAGACUC
rnacentral:ncRNA from 1 species